rnacentral:lncRNA from 1 species
GCCAAGGACUACCACGACCCGCCCCCGGCACCGCUCAUCGACGCCGAGGAGCUGACAAAGUGGUCCUUCUACAGGGCCCUCAUCGCGGAGUUCAUCGCCACGCUGCUCUUCCUGUACAUCACGGUGCUGACGGUGAUCGGGUACAAGAGCCAGACCGAUCCCGCCCUCAAGGGCACCGACUGCGACGGCGUCGGUAUUCUCGGCAUCGCCUGGGCCUUUGGCGGCAUGAUCUUCAUCCUUGUUUACUGCACCGCCGGCAUCUCCGGUACGGCAUAAUCAUCUGACUCCUAAUGGAACCGGAUAAAUUUAGCAGUUUAUCAGAGAAAACAAAGAAACUAAAUAGCUAAUAGCGGUGGAUUAUUUUAACUAAUUAAAGUACGAUUAGCAAACUCCUGAGGGUGCUGUUGCAUACUGGUAACAAAACGUUCAUGCCGGAUGAUAAAAUUAAGGAGGACGGUACACUGCAUGAGACUUAGGCGGCCGCGAACGAUUUGAUUUGGAACCAGUUUAGAUAAUAAUCUCUCAUGAAUGUUGCUGACUAUGCUCAGGAGGGCACAUCAACCCAGCGGUGACGUUCGGGCUGUUCUUGGCUCGCAAGGUGUCGCUCAUCCGGGCGGUGUCGUACAUGGUCGCGCAGUGCUUGGGCGCCAUCUGCGGUUGUGGGUUGGUGAAGGCCUUCCAGAAGGCAUACUACACCAGGUACGGCGGUGGAGCCAACGAAGUGCAACCCGGCUACAGCAAGGGGACUGCUCUCGGCGCAGAGAUCAUCGGCAC